AAUGGGUCAGCGACUUAUAUUCUGUAGCAAGGUUAACCGAAUAGGGGAGCCGAAGGGAAACCGAGUCUUAACUGGGCGUUAAGUUGCAGGGUAUAGACCCGAAACCCGGUGAUCUAGCCAUGGGCAGGUUGAAGGUUGGGUAACACUAACUGGAGGACCGAACCGACUAAUGUUGAAAAAUUAGCGGAUGACUUGUGGCUGGGGGUGAAAGGCCAAUCAAACCGGGAGAUAGCUGGUUCUCCCCGAAAGCUAUUUAGGUAGCGCCUCGUGAAUUCAUCUCCGGGGGUAGAGCACUGUUUCGGCAAGGGGGUCAUCCCGACUUACCAACCCGAUGCAAACUGCGAAUACCGGAGAAUGUUAUCACGGGAGACACACGGCGGGUGCUAACGUCCGUCGUGAAGAGGGAAACAACCCAGACCGCCAGCUAAGGUCCCAAAGUCAUGGUUAAGUGGGAAACGAUGUGGGAAGGCCCAGACAGCCAGGAUGUUGGCUUAGAAGCAGCCAUCAUUUAAAGAAAGCGUAAUAGCUCACUGGUCGAGUCGGCCUGCGCGGAAGAUGUAACGGGGCUAAACCAUGCACCGAAGCUGCGGCAGCGACACUAUGUGUUGUUGGGUAGGGGAGCGUUCUGUAAGCCUGUGAAGGUGUACUGUGAGGUAUGCUGGAGGUAUCAGAAGUGCGAAUGCUGACAUAAGUAACGAUAAAGCGGGUGAAAAGCCCGCUCGCCGGAAGACCAAGGGUUCCUGUCCAACGUUAAUCGGGGCAGGGUGAGUCGACCCCUAAGGCGAGGCCGAAAGGCGUAGUCGAUGGGAAACAGGUUAAUAUUCCUGUACUUGGUGUUACUGCGAAGGGGGGACGGAGAAGGCUAUGUUGGCCGGGCGACGGUUGUCCCGGUUUAAGCGUGUAGGCUGGUUUUCCAGGCAAAUCCGGAAAAUCAAGGCUGAGGCGUGAUGACGAGGCACUACGGUGCUGAAGCAACAAAUGCCCUGCUUCCAGGAAAAGCCUCUAAGCAUCAGGUAACAUCAAAUCGUACCCCAAACCGACACAGGUGGUCAGGUAGAGAAUACCAAGGCGCUUGAGAGAACUCGGGUGAAGGAACUAGGCAAAAUGGUGCCGUAACUUCGGGAGAAGGCACGCUGAUAUGUAGGUGAAGCGACUUGCUCGUGGAGCUGAAAUCAGUCGAAGAUACCAGCUGGCUGCAACUGUUUAUUAAAAACACAGCACUGUGCAAACACGAAAGUGGACGUAUACGGUGUGACGCCUGCCCGGUGCCGGAAGGUUAAUUGAUGGGGUUAGCGGUAACGCGAAGCUCUUGAUCGAAGCCCCGGUAAACGGCGGCCGUAACUAUAACGGUCCUAAGGUAGCGAAAUUCCUUGUCGGGUAAGUUCCGACCUGCACGAAUGGCGUAAUGAUGGCCAGGCUGUCUCCACCCGAGACUCAGUGAAAUUGAACUCGCUGUGAAGAUGCAGUGUACCCGCGGCAAGACGGAAAGACCCCGUGAACCUUUACUAUAGCUUGACACUGAACAUUGAGCCUUGAUGUGUAGGAUAGGUGGGAGGCUUUGAAGUGUGGACGCCAGUCUGCAUGGAGCCGACCUUGAAAUACCACCCUUUA
rnacentral:rRNA from 1 species